GACAGAGGGUGCGAACGUUGUUCGGAAUUACUGGGCGUAAAGCGUGUGUAGGCGGCAAGGCAAGUCGGAUGUGAAAUCCCGUGGCUCAACCAUGGACGUGCACUCGAAACUGCCUAGCUAGAGUCUCGGAGAGGAAGGUAGAAUGCUUGGUGUAGAGGUGAAAUUCGUAGAUAUUCGCAAGAACACCAGUGGCGAAGGCGGCUCACUGGCCCGAUACUGACGCUGAGGUGCGAAAGCGUGGGGAGCAAACAGG
rnacentral:rRNA from 1 species